rnacentral:rRNA from 1 species
CCUACGGGAGGCAGCAGUAGGGAAUCUUGCGCAAUGGGCGAAAGCCUGACGCAGCAACGCCGCGUGAAUGAUGAAGGUUUUCGGAUCGUAAAACCCUGUUGUUAGAGAAGAUAAUGACGGUAUCUAACGAUUAAGCACCGGCUAACUCCGUGCCAGAAGCCGCGGUAUUACGGGGGAGCCGCGCGUUAGCGGGAUUUAUUGGGUUAAACGGGUGCGCAGGGGGUAUGUCAAGUCAGCGGUAAAAUUUAGGGGUUCAACCUCGUCGGUCCGUUGAAACUGGAGUUCUUGAGGGUGGUAGAAGUAUGUGGAAUGCGAGGUGUAGCGGUGAAAUGCAUAGAGAUAACGAAGAACUCCGAUGGCGAAGGCAGCAUUCCGGUCUGUAACUGACGCUGAUGUACGAAAGCGUGGGGAUCGAACAGGAUUAGAUACCCUAGUAGUC